rnacentral:rRNA from 1 species
UACGGGGGGGGCAAGCGUUGUUCGGAAUUACUGGGCGUAAAGGGCUCGUAGGCGGCCAACUAAGUCGGACGUGAAAUCCCCAGGCUCAACCUGGGAACUGCGUCUGAUACUGGAUGGCUUGAAUCCGGGAGAGGGAUGCAGAAUUCCAGGUGCAGCGGUGAAAUGCGUAGAUAUCUGGAGGAAUACCGGUGGCGUAGGCGGCAUCCUGGACCGGCAUUGACGCUGAGGAGCGAAAGCCAGGGGAGCAAACGGG